rnacentral:rRNA from 1 species
GACGAAAAAUGAAUACCAAGUCUCAAGAGUGAACACGUAAUUCAUUACGAAGUUUAAUUCAUUGAGCAUCAAACUUUUAAAUUGAAGAGUUUGAUCAUGGCUCAGAUUGAACGCUGGCGGCAGGCCUAACACAUGCAAGUCGAACGGUAACAGGAAGCAGCUUGCUGCUUUGCUGACGAGUGGCGGACGGGUGAGUAAUGUCUGGGAAACUGCCUGAUGGAGGGGGAUAACUACUGGAAACGGUGGCUAAUACCGCAUAACGUCGCAAGACCAAAGAGGGGGACCUUCGGGCCUCUUGCCAUCAGAUGUGCCCAGAUGGGAUUAGCUUGUUGGUGAGGUAACGGCUCACCAAGGCGACGAUCCCUAGCUGGUCUGAGAGGAUGACCAGCCACACUGGAACUGAGACACGGUCCAGACUCCUACGGGAGGCAGCAGUGGGGAAUAUUGCACAAUGGGCGCAAGCCUGAUGCAGCCAUGCCGCGUGUAUGAAGAAGGCCUUCGGGUUGUAAAGUACUUUCAGCGGGGAGGAAGGUGUUGUGGUUAAUAACCGCAGCAAUUGACGUUACCCGCAGAAGAAGCACCGGCUAACUCCGUGCCAGCAGCCGCGGUAAUACGGAGGGUGCAAGCGUUAAUCGGAAUUACUGGGCGUAAAGCGCACGCAGGCGGUCUGUCAAGUCGGAUGUGAAAUCCCCGGGCUCAACCUGGGAACUGCAUUCGAAACUGGCAGGCUUGAGUCUUGUAGAGGGGGGUAGAAUUCCAGGUGUAGCGGUGAAAUGCGUAGAGAUCUGGAGGAAUACCGGUGGCGAAGGCGGCCCCCUGGACAAAGACUGACGCUCAGGUGCGAAAGCGUGGGGAGCAAACAGGAUUAGAU